GAUGAACGCUGGCGGCGUGCCUAAUACAUGUAAGUCGAGCGAAUGGAUUAAGAGCUUGCUCUUAUGAAGUUAGCGGCGGACGGGUGAGUAACACGUGGGUAACCUGCCCAUAAGACUGGAAUAACUCCGGGAAACCGGGGCUAAUACCGGAUAACAUUUUGAACCGCAUGGUUCGAAAUUGAAAGGCGGCCUCGGCUGUCACUUAUGGAUGGACCCGCGUCGCAUUAGCUAGUUGGUGAGGUGACGGCUCACCAAGGCAACGAUGCGUAGCCGACCUGAGAGGGUGAUCGGCCACACUGGGACUGAGACACGGCCCAGACUCCUACGGGAGGCAGCAGUAGGGAAUCUUCCGCAAUGGACGAAAGUCUGACGGAGCAACGCCGCGUGAGUGAUGAAGGCUUUCGGGUCGUAAAACUCUGUUGUUAGGGAAGAACAAGUGCUAGUUGAAUAAGCUGGCACCUUGACGGUACCUAACCAGAAAGCCACGGCUAACUACGUGCCAGCCGCCGCGGUAA
rnacentral:rRNA from 1 species